rnacentral:rRNA from 1 species
UACGGAGGGGGGCUAGCGUUGUUCGGAAUUACUGGGCGUAAAGCGCACGUAGGCGGCUUUGUAAGUUAGAGGUGAAAGCCCCGGGGCUCAACUCCGGAAUUGCCUUUAAGACUGCAUCGCUAGAAUUGUGGAGAGGUAAGUGGAAUUCCGAGUGUAGAGGUGAAAUUCGUAGAUAUUCGGAAGAACACCAGUGGCGAAGGCGACUUACUGGACACAUAUUGACGCUGAGGUGCGAAAGCGUGGGGAGCAAACAGG